UUUCACAUCUGCCUUCUAAGCCCAGUCAUUAUGACUUUGACAUGUAUUUUGCAAAUAUUUUUCUUCUUGCCAUUUAUUUUCUGUCUUUGUUCACAGUAACCUUUUUCGGUGCCCAAUUUUCCCUAUCUCAGGAUGAAUGGAGCAGCAGAAGAGUGCAAUGGCCCGAGUGCCCAGUGAGCGCCUUUCCUCCUGAAGGCUUCAUGGAAGGGAUACUCUUUUCUUGCCACACCUUGUGCUGAAACUGAUCCUCACUCACGACAAGGAGUGGUUAAAGCUCCCUGAUCCCAAGGAAUCCUGCAGAUAGGUAAAACAAAGAAUGAGAAGAGGCAAACCUCUCCACCUUCAUUCCUUUCUCAUUCCUAUGACACAGGUGAGAGGAUGGGAGGAAAGACCAAAGAAGCACUGCUAUAGUUUGGAUCUGAAAUGUCCACCAAAGGCCCAUGUGUUAAAGCCUUGUUCCACAUCAUAUGGCACUAUUGGGAGUUGGAGCCUAGUGGGAUGGAAUGUUCUCCAAUUAUUGAAGAAUGACCUUGAAAGUGAUAAUGGGACUCCCGCCUCUUUGUCUUGUUCAUUCCAGAGCAUAAGGUGAUUGGCUUUGUUUUACCAUGUGUUGCCACCAUAGUAUGCUGUUUUGGCCCACACUCAAGGCAAUUGAGCCAAUUGAUUAUGGACUGAAACCUCCAAAACUAUAAGUCAAAAUAACACUUUUCUCUUUGUAAGUGGAUUAUUUCAGGUAUUUGUUAGAAUAAUUGAAAGCUGACUAACACAAUCACCAAGGCCAAUUUUCUACUGACCCGGAAGAUGGGGUUUGAUGUAAAAAAAAUUAAGCAUAAUUAUAGAAAAUAAUUAGUACAAUUCUUGUACAUGUAAGUUUGUAAGGUGAGAUUGAGACCUAUCAUAUAGAUUACCUUUGCAUUGUAAUUAGAGAAUUUCCUGCAGAUUACAGAUAGUUAGAAGUUAGGAAAUUUCUGUUAUUUCCCCCCCACACACA